GUGUCAGCCGCCGCGGUAACACGGGGGGAGCAAGCGUUGUCCGGAAUUACUAGGCGUAAAGGGCAAGUAGGCGGAAGUAUCAGUCAGAUGUUAAAGGCACGGGCUCAACCGGUGUAUGGCAUUUGAUACUGUAUUUCUAGAGUAAGGUAGGGGAAGACGGAAUUCCCGGUGUAGCGGUGGAAUGCGCAGAUAUCGGGAGGAACACCGGAGGCGAAGGCGGUCUUCUAUGCCAUUACUGACGCUGAAUUGCGAAGGUGUGGGUAUCGAACAGGAUUAGAUACCCUGGUAGUCCACACAGUAAACGAUGUGCACCAGAUGUUGGGGGAGAUAAUCUUUCAGUGUCGCAGUUAACGCGUUAAGUGCAUCGCCUGGGGAGUACGGUCGCAAGAUUAAAACUCAAAUAAAUUGACGG
rnacentral:rRNA from 1 species